rnacentral:rRNA from 1 species
GCUCGUAGUUGGAUUUGUGGUGUACUUCGGCGGCCCGUCACUAUGUGAUGGAGCUUGCUGAAGUCGCCAUCCUUGGGUGGAUCCUGUGUGGCAUUAAGUUGUCGUGCAGGGGAUGCCCAUCGUUUACUGUGAAAAAAUUAGAGUGUUCAAAGCAGGCUUAUGCCGUUGAAUAUAUUAGCAUGGAAUAAUAAGAUAGGACCUUGGUACUAUUUUGUUGGUUUGCGCACCAAGGUAAUGAUUAAUAGGGACAGUUGGGGGUAUUCGUAUUUCAUUGUCAGAGGUGAAAUUCUUGGAUUUUUGAAAGACGAACUACUGCGAAAGCAUUUACCAAGGAUGUUUUCAUUAAUCAAGAACGAAAGU